GACGAACGCUGGCGGCGUGCUUAACACAUGCAAGUCGAACGGAAAGGCCCUGCUUUUGUGGGGUGCUCGAGUGGCGCACGGGUGAGUAACACGUGAGUAACCUGCCCUUGACUUUGGGAUAACUUCAGGAAACUGGGGCUAAUACCGGAUAGGAGCUCCUGCUGCAUGGUGGGGGUUGGAAAGUUUCGGCGGUUGGGGAUGGACUCGCGGCUUAUCAGCUUGGUGGUGGGGUAGUGGCUUACCAAGGCUUUGACGGGUAGCCGGCCUGAGAGGGUGACCGGCCACAUGGGGACUGAGAUACGGCCCAGACUCCUACGGGAGGCAGCAGUGGGGAAUAUUGCACAAUGGGCGGAAGCCUGAUGCAGCAACGCCGCGUGCGGGAUGACGGCCUUCGGGUUGUAAACCGCUUUCGCCUGUGACGAAGCGUGAGUGACGGUAAUGGGUAAAGAAGCACCGGCUAACUACGUG
rnacentral:rRNA from 1 species